AGUGAACGCUGGCGGUAGGCCUAACACAUGCAAGUCGAACGACAGCACAGUAAGAGCUUGCUCUUACGGGUGGCGAGUGGCGGACGGGUGAGGAAUACAUCGGAAUCUACUUUUUCGUGGGGGAUAACGUAGGGAAACUUACGCUAAUACCGCAUACGACCUACGGGUGAAAGCAGGGGAUCUUCGGACCUUGCGCGAUUGAAUGAGCCGAUGUCGGAUUAGCUAGUUGGCGGGGUAAAGGCCCACCAAGGCGACGAUCCGUAGCUGGUCUGAGAGGAUGAUCAGCCACACUGGAACUGAGACACGGUCCAGACGACUACGAGAGGCAGCAGUGGGGAAUAUUGGACAAUGGGCGCAAGCCUGAUCCAGCCAUACCGCGUGGGUGAAGAAGGCCUUCGGGUUGUAAAGCCCUUUUGUUGGGAAAGAAAAGCAGCAGGUUAAUACCCCGCUGUUCUGACGGUACCCAAAGAAUAAGCACCGGCUAACUUCGUG
rnacentral:rRNA from 1 species